GUGAGUGAAGAUACCUGGACCUGCUAGCUAAGAAAGCUUUGAAUCAUUCUCAGAUAGACAUUAAAGUAGCUUUGAGUAGAGCUGAAUUCAAGGCAGUGAUUUCAUCAGAAGUAUGUAAAAGAUGGCAGGAAGUAUGGAAUAGUGGGACUAAAGGAAGACAUCUCUUCCAGAUACAGGAGAAUGUUGGAAUUGAGAGGAAAAGAUUGAGAAUUAGAAAGAAGGAUGUCGUCAUCACGAGAUUAAGAAUUGGACAUACUGCACUAAACCAUAAUCUCUUUAGAAUAGGAAAGCAUGAAUCGGGUGAAUGUGAGAAGUGUGGGGAAUUGGAAACAGUGAGGCACAUACUAGAUAAGUGUCCUGCAUAUGAAAGGGACAGAUUUUAGUUAUUUCAGGAAUUAGGGUGGAUAGGAGUGGACAAUAUUUCUCUAAAGAUCAGUAGGUGGUGAUAAUGCACCUUUUCGUUGGUCUGCCAAACCACCAUAAAACACCAGAAGAAGAAGAAGAAGAAGAAGAAGAAGAGUGAAGAUACCUGUUAGCUGGGAGUGUUUGCUCUCUCCAUGCUUUGAUCUGGUAAACCCAGGUUGAGGAACAUUUAUGUUCUACAUCUCAAUAGGGUUUUUGUAUCUACUUGAUUUUGAGGACAUCUCACCUGGCUCAAGAUUUGUGUUUCUCCUCAGUUUGGGAAUAUAUCUGAGCUCCUUUACAAACUUUGGAUAAACCUGUUAUGGAUAAGUAACAUUCUGCUGAAGCACUACAGACUUCAUCACUGGAAAUCUGCUAAAGGACUUUUAUAUUAUUUGUAUUUGUAGCCCAUCUGUGGAGAUCAUCACACCCUAAAGCAGACAAAUUCACUGAGAAUGCCACAGUGUUUUUAGAGCAACAGGUGAAUCAUAUUCAUUUUAAAUGUACCACUACACUAAAUGUCUUAAUCAGUUGCUCUGCAUUAUUUGCUGUUUGUGUAUUUGGAUUCUCUCAUGAAUAUCAACAGGUUUAUGUGGAAUUAACUGUGUUGACCCAAAGUCAACAUUCCUGACAUCCCUGGACACUCAAGCCAGGGGGUUUGCUGAAAAUGUACAAAGUGACACAAAUAUGGGAUCAAACACUAUGCUGGUCACUGUGGCAGUAAUGUUGGGAGAAGAAGUAGUUAUGGACAUUCAGGUUUUACAUUGGUUUAUUAUUUAUUACAUUCACAUUUUUAUGAAGUCAUAAAAGCCUUCGUUCUCCUCUUUGGUCUGCUUUAUGCUCUUCACAUGGAGCAUCCCUUGGACUUGAGGUACACCUUUGAGGCUGUCCAGAAGAUCUUUGUGAACCUUGUAACCUUGGAUGUCUGACAAUUAUGUGAAUUUGCUAAACAGCACAGUUGAAUUUCACUCCAGAUGUUUCUUACAGACUGGUUGAGUUUUACAUGGUUGAACUUUUGCACAAGAUUCUUCAGACAGACUUAAUUUUUUAGUAAAAUGGUUGAACAUAAUGUCUUUUUAAAUGGUAACGUGAGGAACCAAUUUUCUUUUGAUCUAAAAUAAGAGCAUUUGAUUUACAAGACUAGCUGUAAUACAUUUUUAUGAUGAAGUGAAAUUAGUAACAUUGUGUAUCAGAGUUCUCAUGCACCUUUUUGCAGCUCAAACCAGUUUGCAGUUGACAAAUUGUCUAGUCUUGUACAAAAGUGCAGUAAUGAUCUAUGUAAUGAUUCUUUUUGUAAACAGAACCUCCAGUUCAAAUCAGGCUGCUGUAAAAUAAAUGUGUAAAAUGG